rnacentral:rRNA from 1 species
AAGGUUUCCGUAGGUGAACCUGCGGAAGGAUCAUUAUUGAAAUAAACCUGAUGGGUUGCUGCUGGUUCUCUAGGGAGCAUGUGCACACUUGUCAUCUUUAUAUCUCCACCUGUGCACCUUUUGUAGACCUGGAUAAUCUUUCUGGAUGGCCUAGGCAAUUCAGGUUUGAGGAAUAACUUUACUGUCUUUCCUUACAUUUCCAGGCCUAUGUUUCUUCAUAUACCCCAAUGUAUGUUAUAGAAUGUAAUAAACGGGCCUUUGUGCCUAUAAAUCUAUACAACUUUCAGCAACGGAUCUCUUGGCUCUCGCAUCGAUGAAGAACGCAGCGAAAUGCGAUAAGUAAUGUGAAUUGCAGAAUUCAGUGAAUCAUCGAAUCUUUGAACGCACCUUGCGCUCCUUGGUAUUCCGAGGAGCAUGCCUGUUUGAGUGUCAUUAAAUAUAUCAACCUCCUCAAGUUUUGCUUGUUGAGUGUUGGAUGUGGGGGUYUUUUGCUGGUCUCUUUCUGAGAUCGGCUCCCCUGAAAUGCAUUAGCGGAACAAUUUGUUGACCGUUCAUUGGUGUGAUAACUAUCUACGCUAUUGACGUGAAGCAGGUUCAGCUUCUAACAGUCCAUUGACUUGGACAAAUUUUCAUUAAUGUGACCUCAAAUCAGGUA